AUUAAUUUAAAUGCACAAGUAAACUUCAACUUCAACUUAUUUUGAAUGUUUUGGUUUAUUUCAAAAUUCAACUUUUAGUCAGUUUCAAUCACUUUGUGAUAAAUCUUUUCAAUCUCAUAACUAUGCUUCGGGGCAGUUGUAGACAAAAGGAUAAUCCCUUACUAAGAACGUUAUUUCUACACAAUUAUUACCUCGCAGCUCUUCUACUAGGGGUUAUCUGAGCAAGAUCAUCCCUACUAGAUCACCCUAGCUUGAGUUUCUUUGUUUUGCAUGCUUUCCUAUGUUUUGUAACAAUUUGGGGGGAAUGCCUAAUCCACAAUUAAACUUAG
rnacentral:lncRNA from 1 species